rnacentral:rRNA from 1 species
UUCUGGUUGAUCCUGCCGGAGGCUACUGCUAUUGGAGUUCGAUUAAGCCAUGCGAGUCUAAGGGACUUCGGUCCCUGGCAUAAUGCUCAGUAACAAGUGGAUAAUCUGCCCUUAGGUGAGGAAUAAACCCGGGAAACUGGGGCUAAUACCUCAUAGACACAAGAAGCUGGAAUGCUCCUGUGUUCAAAGCUCCGGCGCCUAAGGAUGAGUCUGCUUCCUAUCAGGUUGUAGUCAGGGUCAAGACCUGACUAGCCAGCGACGGGUACGGGGUGUGAGAGCACUUGCCCGGAGAUGGUUUCUGAGACACGAAACCAGGCCCUACGGGGCGCAGCAGGCGCGAAAACUUCGCAAUGCGGGAAACCGUGACGAGGGAACUCCAAGUGUCUAUGCAAUGCAUAGACUGUUUUUCAGCCUAAACAGCUGUUAGAGUAAGAGGUGGGCAAGACCGGUGCCAGCCGCCGCGGUAACACCGGCACCUCGAGUGGUAGCCACUAUUAUUGGGCCUAAAGCGUUCGUAGCCGGUUUGGUAAAUUCUUGGGUAAAUCGUACAGCUUAACUGUGCGGAUUCCGGGGACACUACCAGACUUGAGACCGGGAGAGAUCAGAGGUACUUGUAGGGGAGCGGUGAAAUGUUGUAAUCCUACAGGGACCACCAGUGGCGAAGGCGUCUGAUCAUAACGGCUUUGACGGUGAGGAACGAAACCCUGGGGGCGCAAACGGGAUUAGAUACCCCGGUAGUCCAGGGCGUAAACGCUGCUGACUUGG